rnacentral:lncRNA from 1 species
GAAGGUCUAAUUUUAAGUUGAUUUUGCCAAACGAAUCAGAGUUAUAUUUAGUUUAAGCCGCGUGCCUUGCACCUCUCUGGGUUGUUAGAAGGCUUUUUUGGGGGAAGGGUGGGAGCAGAAAUGAGAGAAACCACAGAGGGCCUGAUCCUAACAGCCAGGCUUUGGUAUGUUGCAGAUGGACCAAAAGCUGCCAGCUUUUUGGAAGGCUGUUGGGCACUGGCCUCAUCAGUGAGCGCUGUAAAAACUCUUCCUUGUACUGGGUUAACUCCCUGUUACACAGCUUCUCCUUUAAAAAGAAAUACUGCUUAUAUUGCAGUACAACACGAUCGUUGGGAUAUCCAGAACAGCUGUCGUUUUCAGGGAACUGGUCUGCUGUCACACUGAAGAACGGCUGUGACUGAAGGUGGGAUAUUUCAGUCCCCUUCUGUGGUUGUGCCUUAGCGCAAUAAUUUCUGCCUGUUCCAGCUGGGGUGGGGAGAACCACAGGCCUUUCCUCAGCGAGUUGGAAAACCCUCGCGAGGGAGGAACGGUGAAAGACCUUUAGCCAAGAGGUCCUUGCACGGCCGCGUUUCUGAGGUUCUGCAGCGCUGACGAACCGCCCCGCAGCUGGCACAGCAGCAGCAGGCGGGGCAGCAGUGAGCCCCAGAGCCGUGACGGGCAGGAGCCCCAGCAUGGCAGGUUUCUGCCGCCACCAGCUCCGCGCCGACGUGCAGCCCAUUAGGAGCGAUGUAAGUGAAGCUGCGGAGGCAGCAACAUUCCUGGGCAGCACAGCUCACUGCUUGAGCAGCACACUUGAUCUCAGCUCACCCAAGGAGCCGGAAUAAAGGCCAGCUGGCUCCUGCAGCCCAGGAAGGACCAAGCGGUGGUAGCAAGAGGAGGGAUAUACUUCAAAGCUUUGGCAAACGCGGCUGCUUCGCCCUCCAGGGAGGUGCUUGCCCUCGACUAGUUAAGACAGCACUGCCUUAUUGUCAGGAGGGACUAAUUGCUGCCCUUUGAUACCACAUCACUGCCAGUGCUGCAGCACGAUUAGCUUUGCCGAGCUCUAAGAUUUUAUUUGUUCCUCUCAAACAAUCUUGUCACCUCCGCACCGGCUCCGAGCUCUCCCCUGGGCCAGGGCAGCUGGUGGAAGUGGGACGAGCUCCCGUCCGUCACCGGUCCGCAGGGAGGCUUCAGAGGCCCCCAGGUGCAGUAGUUCUGUGUCUGCUGCGAGGGACAAAUGCAGGAGCUGGAGCAAGCCCCUGUAAGGAGGCACGCUGCUCCAAACGCCUUCUGAAAUGGGGAUCUGCCUGAUACAUGUUAAGACAUCAUUAAACCAGAACACAGCAUGGCUGUAGAAUCAGAGUCGAUCCCUGCGGUGGGAGCAGUGGUGCUGCGGGCGCGGGGGCACUCCCCUCACUUUCCUAAGUCCCAUCAGGUAAAGUAUUUGCAGGUUGGACAAAAACUUGUUCCUCUGCAUGAAACGUAACAAAAGUUGGGGGUAAGUGGAUGGAGGGCAGAGGGUCUGGGUUCCUGAACUUCAAUGCAGAUGUCACCUUGUAACUGUUGCUGCUACAUGUGACUAACGCCGUUUCCUUGUGCUAAGUUUUUCACCUUAGCCAGGUGCUCAGCUCCGUGCUGGGGCAGUUUGGUGCUGCCUCCAAGCGCGAUGCCUCCUGCCGGACUCGGUGCUGUCGGGCACUGCCCUGCCCCAGAAGAACACGGGACUGCCCCUCACAGCACAAUUACUGAGAGGAUAAAAUCUUAUCUGGACAACUCCAGGUGCUGGACAGAAGAGCCCGGGAUGAAGGACGGGGGCUCACCAGCUGCUGUUUCUCUUCCCGAGUGAUGGAUCUCUUCCUAAUGAGCAGGAUCCUGAUUAACUCAUUGCCUCUCACAGCACCUCACCCUGGUCUGACUCCAGGAGUGGUGGCGGAGCCUUGCGAGCGCCCGGCUCCCUCCCGCAGCCAGCGCUGCUGCACCGGUGCUGGCUCUGCCCAAUGAUGUCAUAGCAGAGGGAAGGGAAAAAAGGCGACUGCGAGGCUCCUGAGCAAGUAAACCUCC